rnacentral:tRNA from 1 species
GUCAGGGUGGCAGAGUGGUCAAACGCACGAGUCUGUAAAACUCGCGCCCGAAAGGGCUACGGGGGUUCGAAUCCCUCCCCUGGCA